GACGAACGCUGGCGGCGUGCUUAACACAUGCAAGUCGAACGGAAAGGCCCUGCUUUUGUGGGGUGCUCGAGUGGCGAAAGGGUGAGUAACACGUGAGUAACCUGCCCUUGACUUUGGGAUCACUUCAGGAAACUGGGGCUAAUACCGGAUAGGAGUUCCUGCUGCAUGGUGGGGGUUGGAAAGUUUCGGAGGUUGGGGAUGGACUCGCGGCUUAUCAGCUUGUUGGUGGGGUAGUGGCUUACCAAGGCUUUGACGGGUAGCCGGCCUGAGAGGGUGACCGGCCAGAUUGGGACUGAGAUACGGCCCAGACUCCUACGGGAGGCAGCGGUGGGGAAUAUUGCACAAUGGGCGGAAGCCUGAUGCAGCAACGCCGCGUGCGGGAUGACGGCCUUCGGGUUGUAAACCGCUUUCGCCUGUGACGAAGCGUGAGUGACGGUAAUGGGUAAAGAAGCACCGGCUAACUACGUG
rnacentral:rRNA from 1 species